UCUACAGCUGACUGUCCCUGGUCUCCCUGAGACUCUACACCUGACUGUCCCUGGUCUCCCUGUUCCUCAGGUCUUUCUGUCUCCUUUGCCUGUGACAUAGUGACGUUAGUAUUUCCAUAAGCAUCCAU